AUAAGAGUUCGGUUGCCAGCACCCACGGCUGUCUCUCCAGCCACCUUUUU
rnacentral:rRNA from 1 species